CAGGACUACGGCCGAUCAAGCCCCCAGCCCGAUUCUCUCCUCUUUGCUCCAAGCCGUGCCCUAGUUAGGGUACACAGCCGUCGGUGGCCACAGAUUUCACUUCCUCCCUUCUCUGUGUCGUGCCCUAGGUCAUAGCCAACAAGUGAGGUUGUGUGCUGUGAGGCUUGCUUGUUCUUGGUUCCGGCAGCCUUCUUUCCAACAGCUACUUGUUGGUUGCGGAUCUAGAGCAGUGUGUGAAUUGAGGAUCUUGACGCGAGACGAGUAUCUCGGAGUCGGAUUUGGACCACUUUAUUGGAGGCG